CCCUUAGAUGUCCUGGGCCGCACGCGCGCUACACUGAGUGUCUGAGAUACGAGUCUGCCUGGUCCGGCAAGGGCUAGGUAAUCGCUAAAAGACACAUCAUGCUUGGGAUAGAUUAUUGCAAAUAUUAAUCUUGAACGAGGAAUUCCUAGUAAGCGCAAGUCAACAGCUUGCGUUGAUUACGUCCCUGCCCUUUGUACACACCGCCCGUCGCUACUACUGAUUGGAUGUUUAAGCGAGGUUCUCGAACUGCUAGCGACUUAGCUUCGGUGAGGUCGCAGUGUGGGAAGUGAACCUAGCUUUGGUGUCUAGAGGAAGUAAAAGUCGUAACA
rnacentral:rRNA from 1 species